rnacentral:rRNA from 1 species
GUCUGGAAAGGCGUGCGAUACAGGGUGACAGCCCCGUACACAAAAAUGCACAUACUGUGAGCUCGAUGAGUAGGGCGGGACACGUGGUAUCCUGUCUGAAUAUGGGGGGACCAUCCUCCAAGGCUAAAUACUCCUGACUGACCGAUAGUGAACCAGUACCGUGAGGGAAAGGCGAAAAGAACCCCGGCGAGGGGAGUGAAAAAGAACCUGAAACCGUGUACGUACAAGCAGUGGGAGCACGCUUCGGCGUGUGACUGCGUACCUUUUGUAUAAUGGGUCAGCGACUUAUAUUCUGUAGCAAGGUUAACCGAAUAGGGGAGCCGAAGGGAAACCGAGUCUUAACUGGGCGUUAAGUUGCAGGGUAUAGACCCGAAACCCGGUGAUCUAGCCAUGGGCAGGUUGAAGGUUGGGUAACACUAACUGGAGGACCGAACCGACUAAUGUUGAAAAAUUAGCGGAUGACUUGUGGCUGGGGGUGAAAGGCCAAUCAAACCGGGAGAUAGCUGGUUCUCCCCGAAAGCUAUUUAGGUAGCGCCUCGUGAAUUCAUCUCCGGGGGUAGAGCACUGUUUCGGCAAGGGGGUCAUCCCGACUUACCAACCCGAUGCAAACUGCGAAUACCGGAGAAUGUUAUCACGGGAGACACACGGCGGGUGCUAACGUCCGUCGUGAAGAGGGAAACAACCCAGACCGCCAGCUAAGGUCCCAAAGUCAUGGUUAAGUGGGAAACGAUGUGGGAAGGCCCAGACAGCCAGGAUGUUGGCUUAGAAGCAGCCAUCAUUUAAAGAAAGCGUAAUAGCUCACUGGUCGAGUCGGCCUGCGCGGAAGAUGUAACGGGGCUAAACCAUGCACCGAAGCUGCGGCAGCGACACUAUGUGUUGUUGGGUAGGGGAGCGUUCUGUAAGCCUGUGAAGGUGUGCUGUGAGGCAUGCUGGAGGUAUCAGAAGUGCGAAUGCUGACAUAAGUAACGAUAAAGCGGGUGAAAAGCCCGCUCGCCGGAAGACCAAGGGUUCCUGUCCAACGUUAAUCGGGGCAGGGUGAGUCGACCCCUAAGGCGAGGCCGAAAGGCGUAGUCGAUGGGAAACAGGUUAAUAUUCCUGUACUUGGUGUUACUGCGAAGGGGGGACGGAGAAGGCUAUGUUGGCCGGGCGACGGUUGUCCCGGUUUAAGCGUGUAGGCUGGUUUUCCAGGCAAAUCCGGAAAAUCAAGGCUGAGGCGUGAUGACGAGGCACUACGGUGCUGAAGCAACAAAUGCCCUGCUUCCAGGAAAAGCCUCUAAGCAUCAGGUAACAUCAAAUCGUACCCCAAACCGACACAGGUGGUCAGGUAGAGAAUACCAAGGCGCUUGAGAGAACUCGGGUGAAGGAACUAGGCAAAAUGGUGCCGUAACUUCGGGAGAAGGCACGCUGAUAUGUAGGUGAAGUCCCUUGCGGAUGGAGCUGAAAUCAGUCGAAGAUACCAGCUGGCUGCAACUGUUUAUUAAAAACACAGCACUGUGCAAACACGAAAGUGGACGUAUACGGUGUGACGCCUGCCCGGUGCCGGAAGGUUAAUUGAUGGGGUCAGCGCAAGCGAAGCUCUUGAUCGAAGCCCCGGUAAACGGCGGCCGUAACUAUAACGGUCCUAAGGUAGCGAAAUUCCUUGUCGGGUAAGUUCCGACCUGCACGAAUGGCGUAAUGAUGGCCAGGCUGUCUCCACCCGAGACUCAGUGAAAUUGAACUCGCUGUGAAGAUGCAGUGUACCCGCGGCAAGACGGAAAGACCCCGUGAACCUUUACUAUAGCUUGACACUGAACAUUGAGCCUUGAUGUGUAGGAUAGGUGGGAGGCUUAGAAGUGUGGACGCCAGUCUGCAUGGAGCCGACCUUGAAAUACCACCCUUUAAUGUUUGAUGUUCUAACGUUGACCCGUGAUCCGGGUUGCGGACAGUGUCUGGUGGGUAGUUUGACUGGGGCGGUCUCCUCCUAAAGAGUAACGGAGGAGCACGAAGGUUGGCUAAUCCUGGUCGGACAUCAGGAGGUUAGUGCAAUGGCAUAAGCCAGCUUGACUGCGAGCGUGACGGCGCGAGCAGGUGCGAAAGCAGGUCAUAGUGAUCCGGUGGUUCUGAAUGGAAGGGCCAUCGCUCAACGGAUAAAAGGUACUCCGGGGAUAACAGGCUGAUACCGCCCAAGAGUUCAUAUCGACGGCGGUGUUUGGCACCUCGAUGUCGGCUCAUCACAUCCUGGGGCUGAAGUAGGUCCCAAGGGUAUGGCUGUUCGCCAUUUAAAGUGGUACGCGAGCUGGGUUUAGAACGUCGUGAGACAGUUCGGUCCCUAUCUGCCGUGGGCGCUGGAGAACUGAGGGGGGCUGCUCCUAGUACGAGAGGACCGGAGUGGACGCAUCACUGGUGUUCGGGUUGUCAUGCCAAUGGCACUGCCCGGUAGCUAAAUGCGGAAGAGAUAAGUGCUGAAAGCAUCUAAGCACGAAACUUGCCCCGAGAUGAGUUCUCCCUGACCCUUUAAGGGUCCUGAAGGAACGUUGAAGACGACGACGUUGAUAGGCCGGGUGUGUAAGCGCAGCGAUGCGUUGAGCUAACCGGUACUAAUGAACCGUGAGGCUUAACCUU